GCCGCCUUAGCUCAGGGGUAGAGCAACGCACUCGUAAUGCGUAGGUCCGGAGUUCGAAUCUCCGAGGCGGCUCCA
rnacentral:tRNA from 5 species